GUCAGGUGCAGUGGUGUUUACCUGUAAUCUCAGCACUCAGGAGGCCGAGGCAGGAGAAUCGCCUGAGUCCAAGAGUUCAAGACCAAUGUGGGCAACUUAGCAAGACCCUGUCUCAA
rnacentral:sRNA from 1 species